rnacentral:rRNA from 1 species
AUACGGAGGAUCCGAGCGUUAUCCGGAUUUAUUGGGUUUAAAGGGUGCGCAGGCGGCCAUUUAAGUCAGCGGUUAAAUCGUGGGGCUCAACCCCAUUCUGCCGUUGAUACUGGGUGGCUUGAUUGCGGUCGAGGUUGGCGGAAUUCGUUGUGUAGCGGUGAAAUGCAUAGAUAUGACGAAGAACACCGAUUGCGUAGGCAGCUGACCAGACCGCAAAUGACGCUCAUGCACGAAAGUGCGGGGAUCGAACAGGAUUAGAUACCCUGGUAGUCCGCACAGUAAACGAUGAAUACUUGUUUUCGGCGAUAUAAUGUCGGAGGCAAAGCGAAAGCGAUAAGUAUUCCACCUGGGGAGUACGCCGGCAACGGUGAAACUUAAAUGAAUUGACGGGG